rnacentral:lncRNA from 1 species
GACAACUAGAGGCCUUUGGGUGGGAUUCAGAAAUUUUGAUAUGUUGUAGUUUGCACGCAUGAUGAUUACUUACAGCAUCGCCUACAGAAGACCAACCCAGCUGCUGCUGUUAUUUCACUCCAGGAAUUGGCUGUCCUGUUCUUUCUAUCAGCUUGUUUGUCUGGGUGGUCUGGGAUAACUGACAUCGGUGAGAAAAACAUUCUUUUUUCAUAGUGUGAUUUAUUUUUAUUUUUUAGCCCAGACCAUUUCACUCAGCUUGCUUAGGCAGUGCACACAGGAAGACCUGGAAGGGCAAGCAGA